rnacentral:rRNA from 2 species
UACGGGGGGUGCAAGCGUUAAUCGGAAUUACUGGGCGUAAAGGGUGCGUAGGUGGUUUAGUAAGUUAGCUGUGAAAUUCCUGGGCUCAACCUAGGGUGGUCAGCUAAGACUGCUAGACUCGAGUAUGGGAGAGGGUAGUGGAAUUUCCGGUGUAGCGGUGAAAUGCGUAGAGAUCGGAAGGAACACCAGUGGCGAAGGCGGCUACCUGGCCUAAUACUGACACUGAGGCACGAAAGCGUGGGGAGCAAACAGG